rnacentral:rRNA from 1 species
UACGUAGGGGGCAAGCGUUGUCCGGAUUUAUUGGGCGUAAAGCGCGCGUAGGCGGCGCGGUAUGUCGUGCGUGAAAUCUCCCGGCUUAACUGGGAGGGGCCGUGCGAAACUGCCGGGCUUGAGGUCGGAAGGGGAAAGUGGAAUUCCGGGUGUAGUGGUGGAAUACGUAGAUAUCCGGAGGAACACCAGCGGCGAAGGCGGCGUUCUGGUCCGAUACUGACGCUGAGGUGCGAAAGCGUGGGGAGCGAUCCGG